rnacentral:rRNA from 1 species
GACGAACGCUGGCGGCGUGCUUAACACAUGCAAGUCGAACGGAAAGGCCCUGCUUUUGUGGGGUGCUCGAGUGGCGAACGGGUGAGUAACACGUGAGUAACCUGCCCUUGACUUUGGGAUAACUUCAGGAAACUGGGGCUAAUACCGGAUAGGAGCUCCUGCUGCAUGGUGGGGGUUGGAAAGUUUCGGCGGUUGGGGAUGGACUCGCGGCUUAUCAGCUUGUUGGUGGGGUAGUGGCUUACCAAGGCUUUGCCGGGUAGCCGGCCUGAGAGGGUGACCGGCCACAUUGGGACUGAGAUACGGCCCAGACUCCUACGGGAGGCAGAAGUGGGGAAUAUUGCACAAUGGGCGGAAGCCUGAUGCAGCAACUCCGCGUGCGGGAUGACGGCCUUCGGGUUGUAAACCGCUUUCGCCUGUGACGAAGCGUGAGUGACGGUAAUGGGUAAAGAAGCACCGGCUAACUACGUG